rnacentral:misc_RNA from 1 species
AGAACUUUAAUCCAUCCUCCCCUUUAACAUGCUCUCACGCACUUCAGUUGGUGUCACAAGAAGAACAUGGCCUCCCCAACCACUUAAACAGUCGCGAUCGACAGAAGCUAGCAGUGCUUGCGAUAUAGUCUCAAAUAGCUCCUCAGGUUCCAUGUCAGCCUUGUACAUAGACUCGCAAGCACCAUAAAGAGACUCCCCGGCUGUACCAGAAACAACGAAGUCUUUUGCGAGCUCCUUGGCACCAAGACAAUCCAUAGUACAAAUGAAUGGAACAUCAUCAUCUCCUAGUCCAGCAAUUACUGGUUGACAGAAAUAUGGACCAAAUCUUUUCUCGUAAAGCAUAGAAGAGACGAGGCUCGCAAACGUCUCCGGCUUCAUAUCCCUCUCCUCCCGGAGCUGAUACAACUUGUGACGGAAAACCAGCCGCUGGUACAGGGUUUGAGCAUCGGUGGCGAGACCGGAGAGCCCGAUGUACAAUUUAUCGUGGAUCUUAUAGAUCCGCUUGAAAUCGGUGGAGAUCGUCUGGAGCUGCACACCGAGACGGCGAUCGCUGGCGAUGGCGAAGCAGUUCUUGCCAACCAUCGCCACAAGGGCGCUCCCGUUGUACUCGAAGAUCGACAUCGCCGGCGAGGUGGGGGCGGUGGACGGAGUGAGAAGUCCGGUGAGGUGGAGAUCUAGGGCUUGG